rnacentral:lncRNA from 1 species
GUUGAGUGAUACUCAUCGUCACUUUAUAAUAUGCAUUUCAAAAUAUUUAUUAGGAAAAGCAACUCCCAAUAAGUAUGCAACCAAAUAUACUUCAGCGUGUUGUAGGUAUUGCCUAGAUUUUAAUAAGUAUUUGGACAAAGUUGGUGACUUUUAGGGGAAUUCGUAAUCUAGAAGUUGGUCCGUGUGUCGAUACGGCUUCCGGCUGACGUGUUUGUCAUUGCUUCGGGGAGAGCAGGCCAGCACUUAAUUUUCAACUCUUGUACAGAAGACAUCUGAUCUCCCGAUCUCCGGUGGCCAUUGCCAGAAUUUACCUUUUAGUUGAAAAAGUUAUAAGAUUAAUUUACGUUGGAGGAAGUUUUUAUUUUGUUUUGGGUUUUGUGAAGAGUUUGAGGAGAAGAGUUUUUGUUUCCAAUACUUUUUUGAAGAGCAAUGGGUAUGUAUUAGAUAAAUGUCUCGUAGCUAUGGUUUUUCCUUGGAAAAAAAAAUAGCCCUUUAUUCACUGUCAAUAUCUUACAUAUAUUAUCUUUAUAUGAAUUAUUACUCUUCAAUCAUCAUAUUUGCAAUACUUCAAUACCAUCGCACUUAUAUUUCUACAGAAAAAAAAAUCUUUCAUUAUAUUUCCGGUUCAAAGUAAGUUUGGAAUCAAUGAUCAUUUUCCUUUUCUCCUUUAUAUAACUCCAUAUAGUAAUCUUUGAUUACAAGAUCCACAUUUACUUGUCCAAAUACUUUCUUAUAUUCGGUUAAAAAGCUGUUUCCAUUCAAGGAUAAUCAAGGUCAAUGAACUUCAAGCAUGGACAUCAAACUUCAUUUUUUACUUAGAAGUUUUUCUCUGUCAAGUUCUGAUAAGGUGAUACACCUUUUUGUCGAGGCCCUGUUUCUUGUAUACUCAAGGACAAUCAGCUGAUCAAGGUUUUUUUUAUUAUUUUAGCCACUGGAGAAAAAGGAAAUUAAGUCACCGUUUUUGUUUUUGUUGGAUAUGGAAUAAGCAAUCAGUUUGGGGUUUCUUUUGGUGUGGAUUGGGAUUUUAUGUUUUUUGGAAUCAACAUUGAUUUUUACCGGUACUAGUAAGUACCUCCUCAUCGGACCAUCCGUAUUGUGGUUGAGUAUCUCCCCAGGAUUGGAAACCGGAGGAUACCUACCUGGCUCUCCCAUCGUCAACCUCUCAAGGAGUUUGGAGAAGCCUCCGUCCCUACUUUUGUAGAAGCGACAGGUUUUUAUUAUAAAAUAUACAUUUUCAAUUAUUUUAAAUAACUGCUUGCAAUAUUAAUAUUUUUUCCAAUAAAUUAGAAAUAACCUUAAUAAUAAUAUAAACUCAUUUUUUCUAAAAUCACCAUUUGUAAUAUUCAAUCAUUUUUUUUCCACAAGUUUUAUCGUUCACUGUUCGUACCACUCAUUUAAAAUAGUCCGGGAAUUAUAAACUAUAUGUUAAGGUGUUGUAUACAAUAUCUACGGUUUUAAUUCCUAUUUAAUAACCUUUAUUUCAUUUCAACAGGUAUGGUACUCAGGGUUAUCACUUAGGUCAGAUACGAGAUUGUCAACCAAUACUGUAACCAAUAUCCAUAAUACAUUUUUGUUUAAGUAAAUAACUUGUGAUUCCCAAUAACUGUCUUGAUCUAACUAAUUAAGUUCUUUGUUUUAAUUUUUAUUGUAAUCUCAUUGUCGACAGGAGCGUACUUUUCUAGUACAACAGGUACUGAUUAGCUAGUUUGUAUAAAAUUGUAUAUAGGGGUUAUAGGUUUUUCAUUAAAUUUGUUGGUUGUACAUA